CUUGAAAAAAUAAGGAGCCGAGCCUGCCCUGUGAUUACAUAUAAAUUCAACGGCCGCGGUACUUUGACCGUGCAAAGGUAGCAUAAUCAUUUGCCCUAUAAUUGAGGGCUUGUAUGAAUGGCCUGACAAGAACAAUACUGUCUCCUAAAAAUUUACUAGAAUUUGAUCUUUAGGUGAAGAAACCUAAAUUAAAUUGAAAGACAAGAAGACCCUAUCGAGCUUAAAAAAUGUAAUAAUAAUAAUUUAUACAAUAAAAUUAAGGCUAAUACAAAAAUUUGGUUGGGGCGACUGAGGAACAAAAAAAGCUUCCUUUAAUAUAUAAACACCUAUAUGUAUUGAUCCAAAAUUAUUUGAUUAAAAAAACUAGUUACCGUAGGGAUAACAGCAUAAUCUUUUUAGAGAGAACAUAUCGAAAAAAAGGUUUGUGACCUCGAUGUUGGACUAGGAUAUCUCAAAGAUUGCAGAAGUCUUUAAAAGUUAGUCUGUUCGACUA
rnacentral:rRNA from 1 species